ACUGCCGGACUGUAAUCUUCCUUGGCAUUAUUUCUCGCAGGAAUUCCAGUGUGUCGUUGGUCUGCACCACCUCCGCCAGGUGUUUGUAGUCCAGCGAGGAUCCCUUGUUGCUCUGCAUAUGCGCCUCCUCAGUCAGAUAAUGUACAAACCGUCCUGUCCGACAGUAUCGACGCUAGGCGAACUCUUCAUAAUAGUCUUCACUCGCGAGAUCGGCAAGCGCAACAUUUUUAUCUUCAUCGAGGAGGCUUGUGUGCUCAUCGCACGUACUUAUUCUUUCACCUUUCUUUAUUUAUAUAGAAAAAGCGUCGAGAUCGAGCAAAAAAAAGCCGCAGCGAAAGCCGACAGUAAAUUCUGGCAAAUUUCACGAUUUAAAGCGUAGAUUAGUUCGACGAUGCUUCCUCACGCUGCAGAUAGCGCUAGUUUCAUCAGACACGAAUUAUGAAAGUCGUGACAGAUCGGAAACUUCACGUUUCUUCAAUAGUCAAAUCAUUCUCCUUUCACCACAGUCAAUUACACCACGAGACGAUAUCAGCUUGACGAAAAAUAAUAUUCAUAAAUAUUGUGAUUGAUUGUGUAAAGUAAUAUUUAUUUCAUUCAAAUUGAUUUUUUUAAGAUUGUCUUAAAUUUUUCAUUUUAUUAGCGAAUUAAAAUGCAUAUUAAUAUCACAAUACAAAAUUAAUCUCAUAAUACAAUGUUUUUGUAUGAAAAUUCACUAUUUGGAUUUUGAAAUUCGAUGAUUAUUCUAGGUCUGUUUGUAUUGGUAAAGCUAAUUUUAAAAUUGAUUUUAGCCUUAGAAUUAGAAAAAUAUAGAAAGUAUAAAUUAAUUGAGUUUGAAGUUAAGCUAAUUUAAUACAAAAUAAAAAAAACGAAAAAUAAGGGCAUCAUAAGAAAUCAUCUUUAGGAUUGUAAAAUUGUUGAAAAAAUUAAUAGCCUUUAAAUAAAAUUCUAUUCGAAAAUU